rnacentral:rRNA from 1 species
CAAUGCGCAUGCUUACCAUGCAGUCGAACGGAUUUUAUGUGCUUGCACAUAAAGUUAGUGGCAGACGGGUGAGUAACGCGUGGGAAUGUACCCCUUGGUUCGGAAUAACGUUUGGAAACGAACGCUAAUACUGGAUACGUCCGAAAGGAGAAAGAUUUAUUGCCGAGGGAGCGGCCCGCGUUGGAUUAGGUAGUUGGUGAGGUAAAGGCUCACCAAGCCGAUGAUCCAUAGCUGGUUUGAGAGGAUGAUCAGCCACACUGGGACUGAGACACGGCCCAGACUCCUACGGGAGGCAGCAGUGGGGAAUAUUGGACAAUGGGGGCAACCCUGAUCCAGCAAUGCCGCGUGAGUGAUGAAGGCCUUCGGGUUGUAAAGCUCUUUUGUCAGGGACGAUAAUGACGGUACCUGACGAAUAAGCUCCGGCUAACUUCGUGCCAGCAGCCGCGGUAAUACGAAGGGAGCUAGCGUUGUUCGGAAUUACUGGGCGUAAAGGGCGCGUAGGCGGUCUUAUAAGUUUGGUGUGAAAGCCCUGGGCUUAACCUAGGAAUAGCAUUGGAUACUGUAAGACUUGAGACCGAGAGAGGGAAAUGGAAUUGCGAGUGUAGAGGUGAAAUUCGUAGAUAUUCGCAAGAACACCAGUGGCGAAGGCGAUUUCCUGGCUCGGUACUGACGCUAAGGCGCGAAAGCGUGGGGAGCAAGCAGGAUUAGAUACCCUGGUAGUCCACGCUGUAAACGAUGAAUGCUAGAUGUUGGGGAUUAAAAUCUUCAGUGUCGUCGCUAACGCAAUAAGUAUUCCGCCUGGGGAGUACGGUCGCAAGAUUAAAACUCAAAGGAAUUGACGG